GGUUAAGCGAAUAAGCGUACACGGUGGAUGCCUAGGCAAUCAGAGGCGAUGAAGGACGUGCUAAUCUGCGAAAAGCGUCGGUAAGGUGAUAUGAACCGUUAUACCCGACGAUAUCCGAAUGGGGAAACCCAGUAUCCAAUGGAUACUAUCAUUAACUGAAUCCAUAGGUUAAUGAGGCGAACCGGGAGAACUGAAACAUCUCAGUACCCCGAGGAAAAGAAAUCAACCGAGAUUCCCCUAGUAGCGGCGAGCGAACGGGGAGCAGCCCAGAGUCUUAAUCAAUAACAGUGUCAGGAGAACGGUCUGGAAAGUCCGGCAGUAAAGGGUGAUAGCCCCGUAUCUGAAGAUGCUGUUAUUGUGAACUCGACGAGUAGGGCGGGACACGUGUUAUCCUGUCUGAAUAUGGGGGGACCAUCCUCCAAGGCUAAAUACUCCUGAUUGACCGAUAGUGAACCAGUACCGUGAGGGAAAGGCGAAAAGAACCCCGGCGAGGGGAGUGAAAAAGAACCUGAAACCGUGUACGUACAAGCAGUAGGAGCCUCUUUAUGGGGUGACUGCGUACCUUUUGUAUAAUGGGUCAGCGACUUAUAUUCUGUAGCAAGGUUAACCGUAUAGGGGAGCCGUAGGGAAACCGAGUCUUAACUGGGCGAAUGAGUUGCAGGGUAUAGACCCGAAACCCGGUGAUCUAUCCAUGGGCAGGUUGAAGGUUGGGUAACACUAACUGGAGGACCGAACCGACUAAUGUUGAAAAAUUAGCGGAUGACUUGUGGAUGGGGGUGAAAGGCCAAUCAAACCGGGAGAUAGCUGGUUCUCCCCGAAAGCUAUUUAGGUAGCGCCUCGUGAACUCAUCUUCGGGGGUAGAGCACUGUUUCGACUAGGGGGUCAUCCCGACUUACCAACUCGAUGCAAACUGCGAAUACCGAAGAAUGUUAUCACGGGAGACACACGGCGGGUGCUAACGUCCGUCGUGAAGAGGGAAACAACCCAGACCGCCAGCUAAGGUCCCAAAGUCAUGGUUAAGUGGGAAACGAAGUGGGAAGGCUCAGACAGCCAGGAUGUUGGCUUAGAAGCAGCCAUCAUUUAAAGAAAGCGUAAUAGCUCACUGGUCGAGUCGGCCCGCGCGGAAGAUGUAACGGGGCUAAACCAUGCACCGAAGCUGCGGCAGCGACACAAAGUGUUGUUGGGUAGGGGAGCGUUCUGUAAGCCUGCGAAGGUGUACUGUGAGGUAUGCUGGAGGUAUCAGAAGUGCGAAUGCUGACAUAAGUAACGAUAAUGCGGGUGAAAAACCCGCACGCCGGAAGACCAAGGGUUCCUGUCCAACGUUAAUCGGGGCAGGGUGAGUCGACCCCUAAGGCGAGGCUGAAAAGCGUAGUCGAUGGGAAACGGGUUAAUAUUCCCGUACUGGUGGUAACUGCGAUGGGGGAACGGAGAAGGCUAGGUUGUCCGGGCGACGGUCGUCCCGGUUCAAGCAGGUAGGCAGAGUGAUUAGGCAAAUCCGGUCACUUAAUGCUGAGAUGUGAUGACGAACCACCAAGGUGGUGAAGCAAUUGAUGCCCCGCUUCCAGGAAAAGCCUCUAAGCUUCAGGUUACCAACAAUCGUACCCCAAACCGACACAGGUGGUCAGGUAGAGAAUACUCAGGCGCUUGAGAGAACUCGGGUGAAGGAACUAGGCAAAAUGGUGCCGUAACUUCGGGAGAAGGCACGCUGGCGGUAGGUAAAGUCCCUCGCGGACAGAGCUGAAGCCAGUCGAAGAUACCAGCUGGCUGCAACUGUUUAUUAAAAACACAGCACUGUGCAAACACGAAAGUGGACGUAUACGGUGUGACGCCUGCCCGGUGCUGGAAGGUUAAUUGAUGGGGUCAGCCGUAAGGCGAAGCUCCUGAUCGAAGCCCCAGUAAACGGCGGCCGUAACUAUAACGGUCCUAAGGUAGCGAAAUUCCUUGUCGGGUAAGUUCCGACCUGCACGAAUGGCGUAAUGAUGGCCAGGCUGUCUCCACCCGAGACUCAGUGAAAUUGAACUCGCUGUGAAGAUGCAGUGUACCCGCGGCAAGACGGAAAGACCCCGUGAACCUUUACUAUAGCUUGACACUGAACAUUGAGCCUUGAUGUGUAGGAUAGGUGGGAGGCUUUGAAGUGUGGACGCCAGUCUGCAUGGAGCCAACCUUGAAAUACCACCCUUUAACGUUUGAUGUUCUAACCUAGGCCCAUAAACUGGGUCGGGGACCGUGUCUGGUGGGUAGUUUGACUGGGGCGGUCUCCUCCUAAAGAGUAACGGAGGAGCACGAAGGUUGGCUAAGCAUGGUCGGACAUCAUGCGGUUAGUGCAAAGGCAUAAGCCAGCUUGACUGCGAGAGUGACGGCUCGAGCAGGUACGAAAGUAGGUCUUAGUGAUCCGGUGGUUCUGAAUGGAAGGGCCAUCGCUCAACGGAUAAAAGGUACUCCGGGGAUAACAGGCUGAUACCGCCCAAGAGUUCAUAUCGACGGCGGUGUUUGGCACCUCGAUGUCGGCUCAUCACAUCCUGGGGCUGAAGUAGGUCCCAAGGGUAUGGCUGUUCGCCAUUUAAAGUGGUACGCGAGCUGGGUUUAGAACGUCGUGAGACAGUUCGGUCCCUAUCUGCCGUGGGCGUUGGAAGAUUGAGAGGGGUUGCUCCUAGUACGAGAGGACCGGAGUGAACGCACCACUGGUGUUCGGGUUGUCAUGCCAAUGGCAUUGCCCGGUAGCUAAGUGCGGAAGAGAUAACCGCUGAAAGCAUCUAAGCGGGAAACUUGCCUCGAGAUGAGUCUUCCCUGUCGCUUUAAGUGACCUAAAGGAACGUUUAAGACUAAGACGUUGAUAGGCUGGGUGUGUAAGCGUAGCGAUACGUUGAGCUAACCAGUACUAAUGAACCGUGAGGCUUAACCUG
rnacentral:rRNA from 1 species